rnacentral:tRNA from 1 species
UCCCGUGAAAGCCAAAGUGCAAAUUUGGAGAAGCACCCUAGAAGGUGCCGGGGCUUCUCCCGUUUUAAGCAGACGGGAGAAGA